AAGAGUAGGCGCAGCGGUUGCGGAACAGUUUUAGCUGCUGUUCUGAGGAAAGUCCGGACUCCCGAAAGACCAAACUUGCUGGGUAACGCCCAGUGCGGGCGACCGUGAGGAUAGUGCCACAGAAACAUACCGCCGAUGAAUGAGGAGCGAGGAGGAGCCAGUGCGGUGCGGGGGUGUCCCCCGUUGUAGCAACUGGCGUCGAGGAGUGAGGAGCGAGGUACAAAUUAAACCCUAACCCCUAACUCCUAACCCCUCUUAAAGGUAAGGGUGCAAAGGUGCGGUAAGAGCGCACCAGCAGCGUCGAGAGGCGCUGGCUCGGUAAACCCCAGUUGGGAGCAAGGUCGGAGGAACUAUGGUUGGUCUUUUACCAGUUCCGUUAUUGGAGAACCGCUAGAGGCGUCUGGUAACAGGCGUCCCAGAUAGAUAACCGCACUUCGCUAGCAACAUUGUUGUUAGGAAGCAACAGAACCCGGCUUAUGUCUUGCUCUUUCCC
rnacentral:RNase_P_RNA from 1 species